UAUAGUAAAUAUAAGGGAGCUACCAUUUGAUUUUUAUGGGGGGCUAGGAUGAAAUUUGAAAAAAAUAGGCAGGACAGGAGUUUUGAGUAAAAAAAAAAGGCAGGAUGAGCAACUUGGUUAAAAAAAAAGGCAGGAUGACAAUUUGUGUAAAAAAAAGUCAGGAUAAACUAGUAAAAAAAAAGGCAGGACCAAAUAGAGUAAAAAAUAAAAAGGCAGGACAGGGAUUACAACUAAAAAAAAAAGCAGGACAAAAUUUUUCAUCCUAGCCCCCCCAUAAAAAUCAAAUGGUAGCUCCCUAAUACAGUUUGUAUACACCUGAAAUUAUGAAUUCUCUAUAUAUGCAAUUUAUAGCUAGUUUUGUUGGAUUUUAAAUAAAGUAAUGAUUAUUAAAUGACCAGGGCGAUUCAUUAAUUUUAGCUGCAUUGUAUAAGUUUCAUAUUUGGUAAAAGAAAACUGAGGCCAGAGGAGCAACAUAUUUCGCAAUUUUUUAAUUGAUAAGGCCACACUUAAAAAUAUUUUGGUUUGCCAAAGCCCUACCCAAAUGUUGAGACAGUGGGUAGGUAGGUAGGUAGGUAGGUAGGUAGGCAUUUUCUUUUUUUUUUUCAAAAAGGAAAUUGAAGUAUCAGAUGUUUAUUAGUCUUCAUGCCUAAAUUUGAGUUUGAUGUGUGUUUUAUGGUGUUCGUUUUAUUUAGCAGUGUACAAGUUUCAUAAUAUUAUACCCC
rnacentral:lncRNA from 1 species